AUUCAAGGUAAAGAAAGUAUUAGGCCCAGAGAGGAGGAAGCUGGAGCGUGCAGAGGGCAAAGAGGAACCCAGAUUCAAAUCCCUCCUCAGGAGUGAAAUUCAGGUGGUGUCCUGUGCCCAGUGACAGUGUUGUUGUGAAGACAAAAGGAGGGGGACAAAUCAUGGCCCUUGAGAGCUGCUCCCUACAAAACGUGCAUCGUGGUGAAAGCUGUGGGAGUCCCAGAGCUGGCCUAGUUUACUCCUCCCUCUCAGGCAGCGCCAUGGCCUCAGAGGCACCGUCCGGAUUGUCUCUUCUGUAGGAUAGAGUGGAAAGAGCAGC